rnacentral:rRNA from 1 species
AUACGUAGGGGGCGAGCGUUGUCCGGAAUGAUUGGGCGUAAAGGGCGCGUAGGCGGCGCGGUAAGUCUGGAGUGAAAGUCCUGCUUUCAAGGUGGGAAUUGCUUUGGAUACUGCCGCGCUUGAGUGCAGGAGAGGUUAUCGGAAUUCCCGGUGUAGCGGUGAAAUGCGUAGAGAUCGGGAGGAACACCAGUGGCGAAGGCGGGUAACUGGACUGCAACUGACGCUGAGGCGCGAAAGUGUGGGGAGCAAACAGGAUUAGAUACCCUGGUAGUCCACACUGUAAACGAUGAAUGCUAGGUGUAAGAGGUAUCGACCCCUUUUGUGCCGACGUUAACACAUUAAGUAUUCCACCUGGGGAGUACGGCCGCAAGGCUGAAACUCAAAUGAAUUGACGGGG